rnacentral:lncRNA from 1 species
GAACCAAAAACCCAUUCAAAUUACAUUUUUCAACGCCAAAACUAUUUAUAUAAAGUGAUUUUAGGUUCCAUGAAGAAAUAUUCACCCCCAAAUUAAUCAACACAACCUAACUUUUAACCUGUCGAUUUAAAUUUUAUGGAUAUUUUUAAAAAUCGUUUUAUUACAACAAAGACACAGUAAGUCGAUUGAUUUUUUUUAAUUUUAAAUCAUUACUAAUUCUAUAAUUAAUAAAACUUAUAAAUUAAUUAAGUUUUUCUUUUUAAAACUGUUGCAUACUCCAUCUAGCGGUAAUAACCCCUAUUAAAACGUAUUGACAACCUCAACUGUUUAUGAAAUUAUCAACUUUAACGAAAAAGGAAAUCAAAUUGAACCAAAAACCCAUUCAAAUUACAUUUUUCAACGCCCCAACUAUUUAUAUAAAGUGAUUUUAGGUUCUAUGAAGAGAUAUUCGCCCCCCAAGUUAAUUGAAUUCACCAGGAACAUAACCUAACUUUUUAACCUGUCAAUUUAAAUGUUACGGAUAUUUUUAAAAAUCGUUUUUUAAAGCAGAAUUUACUCGCUUUACACCUUUUGGGGAGAUAAGAAAUAAUUUGUAACGCAUUCAAGGAGACUAAUGGAGUUAUUUACAUGUUUUAAGACGUUAAACUCGCCUCAAAUUUAUCAACUCGCCCGUCCAAGAAAUUUAAACGGGACCUAAAUACCAGAAAUUCCACUCGUAUUUUACAAAUUUAAUAAAAGUUAAAAAUUAAAUAUUGUUUUUUACUAUGUACACGCAAAAGAGUCAAGGUUAAACCAGUUGCACGGACAGUUGGGUUUUGAAUUUUAUUAGGAGGCUUCCACCUGGAUGACUCACACCUCGUUUCUUUUACCAAAGGAAAAAAGAAAAACAUAAAAUCACGUUGUGAAAGCAAUGAUAAUAAUAUGUAACAAUUUGAUGACGUUUUGGUGGGAAAACCCAAACGAUUUAAAACACUUUUCCUUGAUUGUUUUGCAGCAUAAUAGAUAAUAAAAAGGUAAACUUAAAAUAUGGGAUUAUAAAAAACCAUGGUACGAUAUUGAUUGGGGUUUUGAAAGAAUUAUGUUUCUAGCGUCGAUAAACACAUUGCUCUCGCGACUAUAUUUAAAGCGGGAGACUUUGAACUUAACAUUUAACCGUUUUUUUUUUUUUUUUAUUUUUUCGCGUUAUCGCAAACUGUGAGCGUAGAUUUUUGCGAGUUACAUACAUCACAGGGACAUCGUGAAUUAAAAAAAAAUACUCGAAUUGCGAUAAAAUAAGAUAUAAAUAUCUCGUUUUGUUUGUUCGUAGAUAAGAAAAUGAUUUCCCGGAAAUAUUUUUUUGCAAUUAACAUGUUUUUAGUUAAUAAGUUAACAUAACCUUUGACGCAGGUCAAUUAAAUGACAGAAAGUAAGGUUAGGUAACAUUGAAAUAAUUAAAUCCCUAUUUUUUAAUUAAAUUUGAUUCAUUUUUGAUUAAAUGAAAUGAUUUGUAGCGUAAAUAUAAAAGAACUUGAGUAUUGUGUACUCCUGGAUGUAACAUUCCUAAUUCGCAAUCUGUUUGCAUCCAAAUAUAACGUAGCUUAGUUAUUUUCGGUAUGCUCUAAGUAGAACUUUCCAAUUUCGUAUUAUACGUUUCUCUGUGAAUAUUUCUCAAAUGGAUUCCUUGAAAUUGGUUAUUUAUAAAUGCUUUUUAAACAAAUAAAAUGUCAACCUCAUUAUACAACCUUA